rnacentral:tRNA from 1 species
CUGGAUCUUGUGCGGCCCGGGGGCGCCGCCGUUGAGGAUGGGGGAGUCGAUCGGUUCGACCGCGACGAUCCGGA